rnacentral:lncRNA from 1 species
AGUCUAUCAUAAAGAGGACAACACUUUUAAUGUCAUAGUUCUUCACUUACAAAUCGUUGUAUUAAAAAAUAAGAGUUGCUUUGAACAGCCCUUAGUUAAUGCAAACACUAGUGCUUGUUUCUUUGAUUAAAUGAACAAAGAACUUGAGAAGAAAGCACAAGGGCAUGGACACUUUAUGUGCCAUAAUUCUUCACUUACAAAUUGUUGUAUGAAGAAAUGAGAGUUGCCUUGAACAACUCUUGAAAGUUUGUAAUUAUGUUUAGAACAUAAUGGUUGGUUGACAAAAAAAUAGUCCAUCAACAUGGACUUAUGAUGAUUUUG